UGAGGAAUAUUGGACAAUGGAGGCAACUCUGAUCCAGCCAUGCCGCGUGAAGGAUGACUGCCCUAUGGGUUGUAAACUUCUUUUAUACAGGAAGAAACACUGGUACGUGUACCAGCUUGACGGUACUGUAUGAAUAAGCACCGGCUAACUCCGUGCCAGCAGCCGCGGUAAUACGGAGGGUGCAAGCGUUAUCCGGAAUUACUGGGCGUAAAGCGCGCGUAGGCGGUUAUUUAAGUCAGAUGUGAAAUCCUUGGGCUCAACCUAGGAACUGCAUUUGAUACUGGAUAACUAGAGUAUGGUAGAGGUGAGUGGAAUUUCAGGUGUAGCGGUGAAAUGCGUAGAGAUCUGAAGGAACAUCAGUGGCGAAGGCGACUCACUGGGCCAUUACUGACGCUGAGGUGCGAAAGCGUGGGUAGCAAACA
rnacentral:rRNA from 1 species